rnacentral:rRNA from 1 species
CGUGGCGGACGGGUGAGUAACGCGUGGGCAACCUGCCUCGCACUGGGGGAUAACACUUAGAAAUAGGUGCUAACACCGCAUAGCGGGCGGGGGCGCAUGCCCCUGCCCUGAAAACCCAGGUGGUGCGAGAUGGGCCCGCGUCUGAUUAGCUGGUUGGCAGGGUAACGGCCUACCAAGGCGACGAUCAGUAGCCGGCCUGAGAGGGUGGACGGCCACAUUGGGACUGAGACACGGCCCAGACUCCUACGGAAGGCAGCAG